UAAGAACUCAUAGUAGGCCAUGUUUGGUAUAAAAGUAUACGAGACAUCAUAAGGACUGCACAAAGGUUUCAUGUUAAUCCCAAAAAAUGCCUCUGAAGAACCAUAAACUGGUGAAACCACAGGUAAUCCACCCGUAUAGAACUCAAGCGCAGGGAUAUAUUGUGCCAUGGACCCUGUAAUAAUGGCCAUGACAUACUUGGUCCUUGGCCAGAUCUUCUUAAUUAUCCCUUCCCAAGACUUUUCUUGGCAUAUAAGAUCAAUUGAAUCAGCCAAAUCCGGCAUUUGUUUGCUCAAAAUCAAGGAGACAGCCCUUUUGCAGUUAGGGUCAGUGAUCCAAGCACUCAUUUGUCCAGUUCUUAUGUUGGAAGACAUUUCUUGCCAAUGUUCCUCGAAAAAUUUGAUUAUCCUUAACAAACCCGAGGCGAAAAAAGUACCAACGUUUACUAUCGCAUCUCGCUGCACAAGGCCACAAAGUAAUUGACUAUACAAGCUCUGAUUGGAAUCUUCACACAAUAUAAACUGAGGAUAUCUGUCUUUUCUGUUCUUUAUCUCGCUUUCUGAGCCUGUUCUUAAAACUAAGCCACCAGGAGUGUGGAUAUCCGGGUUGAUAAGGACAAAUAACAGCGCUUUCCCAUCGUUCAAUCCCUGGAAGGACCUUAGUUCAAAGCUAUAUGUUUAGCAAUUUUUGUUUGACUCUUAUAAUUCUACUGAAGAAAUAACAACUGUAUAUUCACUGCAUUAGACUUUACCUGUUUAAAACAGUAUCACAGAGACAAGAAAAAAAGGCCCUGCGCUCUCCCUCUUCAGCAGUUUUUGGAAUCCACUUUUGCUUCCCACCUGAAGUGCCUGAGCUGCGAACGAAGUUAAUGAUUUCAGUUAAGAAAAACAAGAAAUUCAUGAAAAAGAACAGAGAUGACUCGUGCUUCAGCAUUAUUGAUCUCACUCCAUUCAGGAGUUUCCUUUUAUCUAAUUAGAACAAAACAAAGAAACUGAUUUACCUUUUGAGUAGCUCAGUAAUGGAUUCAUUAGUUAAAAUCCGAGAUGGCUCUCCAUCCAGUGCAAUUCGAUCUAUGUAAAUCUUGAUAUCUUCAUAAUCUACCACAGGAACUUUAUUCUUGAAUAGUCCCUUAUCAGAGUGACCAUUAAGAAAACCCUUCAAGUAAUCAGUGCUUGCAUUUUUAGUUAAAAUCUCCUCCAGGACCUGUUCUUGUAUAUGACCAGCAUUGCUGGUUAUAUCCUCCAAAAUCCUCGAACCAGCUUCAGUAUCUCUUGGAUCAAAGGUUGGCAGCAUCCUGGUAAAGAAAAGAAAUGCAGAAUCUGAGUUUGGGGAUGCGAAAUAUACAGGGAAAUUAAUUAAUGAAUAAGCACGCUCAACUACAUUGUCUUGAGGAAAAGAUUCACGCCAUGGAUAAGCCCUUUUAAACCCAUUGGGCAGGUGAUCCAUCCUUUCAUCCUCAUUCCCUUCUCCAAGAUGCCUAGUUAGCAUGCUGUAUGUUACCAUUGUAAAUUUGUAAUGGUGUAAACAGAAAAACUCAUUGAGUUGCUUAGUCUCCUUAUGGUAUGCUCAUCACUUUCACAAUCCAAAAUCGCCAAAUGAUCUUGAAUGUACCUUCGAUCGAGAUCUUAUAGAUCUAUAUCCAUGCUUGAGUUCAGUCAAAAUCGAAUUCAAAUCGAGUUCGAGUAACUUGAGUUGCUAUACGAAUUGAGUUGGAUCUCCAUAUAAUAUUCCUUAUUUAGCUUAUAGAGUUUUUAUGUAUAUUUUGUCGAGCAAGCUCAAUCUCGAGCUUCAGCUUGUCCUCAUAAUUUUCUUGAGUCAAACUCAAGCAUGAACACGUGAUGUUCAUUGAACUUGAGCUCGGCCUCAACCAUAAAUUAAUUUUCUUUGAUCUUGAGUUCUAGUACCUCAAUAUUUGGGCUUGAUUUGGCAAAUAACACCCCUAGAGAGGUGAUCCAAAAUUUAAAUGAAUGGCACAUUUCUAGUCGUAAAAGGAAGCUUAUUCGUAUGCAUCUUCCGAAAUUUGGCAAAAAUAUACUGGAUACCAGUUAUAUUCUACAAUUUAAUUAAUAGAGCAAAUUAUAUUUUAUCCUCUGUGAUUUAAUACUUUUCCAUGUAACCCUCCUAUAGUUGCCAAGGCUAUGUAUAAACCCUUAUGUUUGGACUAAAGUUUCAAAGUGACAGAAAUGGUACUCUGUUAGGGAACCAACUCAUAGGGCUGAAAAAUGAACUAACCUACUCGAUGUUCAAAUCGAGGUCACUUGGUAAGAACUCGUUCGAGUUUGGUUAACCAACUAGUUAAGCCAAACUUGAACAGUGUUUUGAUGCUCAAUAACAUUCAAACUCUAUAAAAAAAACUCGUUCAAACUUUGUUCGGCAAAUAAAUAAGUUAAGUUUGAACAAAAUUUUAAACUUGUUAAAGUAAUCAAACAAACUUGAACAUUACGGUUUUCAACUUGAUUAGGUUCGUUUACACCCCUACCAACUAAAAUGUUGAGAUUACUCUCAUUUAGAAACAAAAAUGAUUAAAAUGGCCAAAAUAUGUAAAUAUAGUGUGGAUGACAUUUUAGUCCCUUAUAGUUUAGUGUUUUCCACAUAACUAUCUUUUGUUUUCAAAAUCUAUACAUAACAUCCGUCUGGUUAACAAAUAGUUUUCAUAUUAACAUAGGGGUGUUUUUGAUAUUUUAGUAGAUUACGUUAUUGAAUGCAAAUUUGAUCAUUUUGACAUUUUAGUCCAAAUCAUGAUGGAGUUGCGUCUCCUUUUUGAAAUGGUAAGAGGUUUAUAAGGAAAAGUACUAAAUCCCUGUAGGGUAAAGUGUAAUUUACCCUAAUUAAUACUGAAGUGUUGAUUUUGGGGCUUUUCAAGUAAACGGAGUUUGCCAGAUAAAAAGGUGAGUAGUGUUUUGACUACCAAUUUACCACAGCUUCGUCCUUCAACCAAAGGCAACAAAUAUCACCAAACUUAUCAGCAUGAUAAGUGAUAACCAAAGCUCUGAAAAAAACUGAACUUGAAGAAUUACAUAUUAAGACAGGAUUAACAACCUGACUGUAUGAAUCUUGUUGACUUUCGACCUACAAAUGCAAACCAUUCAAAAAAUGUAAAUAUAUGGCCAAGUAAGCGUAUCGCAUAGGUAAAAAGGAAAACAUAUGAAUCACAUCAGAAACAACAGGAGGAAAUUAAUCAAGGAAGCCAAUAUACCUCACCUAAAAGGAACUUGAUUGCGUAUAAUCCUACGGCGCAAAUAUACCUCACCUGGAAAAAACUUGAUUGCACUUUGAUCCCACAGCAAAAAUUUUGCAGAAAAUGAAGCCUUUGAGACCUAAUUUUUGUCGACUGCUGUUCAGUUAUGCCGGCUUAAUAGCAGAGAAGUGGAUCUCUUAGUAAUAGGGCAUGUGGUAGACAGAGUUAGAAACUUAGAAAUGAAUUCCAAGGAUGUCGGAUUGCACAUGUAUGUAGGACAGGAAAUACUCCAGCCCACUUACUGGCUAAGUCAUCUUUAUUUGUGAGGAUAGAGUUACAUGGUGGGACAACUUUCCACCUUGCAUUGUAAAUGCUGCGUUUUGUGAUAUGAAUGGAUAGAAAGUUAUGCAGGGACUAGGGAGCAGUGAAGAAGCUGUCUGACCUGGCAAGGUUGAAAGAUGUGAACGAGUCGAGUCGAGUUGAAUUUUGAUCUAAUCGAGUUGAGUCUCAACCUAGGUUUAUGAAACUCGAACUCGAACUCGAGUUCGACGAAAUCAAAAUGUCAAGGUCGAGCUUAAAAAAAAUUAUUAUUUUAUUUUAAAAAAUAAAUAAAAUAAUAAUUUUUCUUAACAAAGAAUAAAAUAUUAGGGAUAUAUAUGUAAUUUUACUAUUAAAAUAAAAAAUAAUAUUUAUAUAUUAAUAUAUAUAUAUAUAUAUAAUCGAGCUCGCGAGUUAACGAAAUUUAUAUUUUUGAACUCGAGUUAGACUUAGUCAGCUUGAACUCGACUCAAGUUCGAUGUUGAUCGAACUCGAGUCGAGCUCGGAUUUGAGCCGCUUGCGAUCGGCUCACAAGUGGCUCAAUUUGUUUACAGCCCUAGUAAGGUUGACCAAUUACCAGUGAUACAGGAAGUUGUUUACGCCGGUCCAUAUUCAUCAAAUGUUGACCGGAAAUUGUAUAUAUAUACAGGGAGAGUUGCAGUUUUAGUACCCAAUGUUUGGCCCAUGUAUCAAAUUUGCCUUCAAUGUAUCGAUUAAAACAAAUCUGGUCCCCAAGGUUUAUGAUUUUAGAUAGACUUAUGACAAUUAGCGGAAAUAGACCAAUGAAUAAUGGUCAACAUCAAAUUGCUGCUAGUCAACAAUUUUUACUUUACACUUCUAGUCCUCAAUGUUUUGAUUUUGAAUUAUUAUCUUCUUUUAAAUUUGAAACAGUGAUAUUAAGGAUUUAGUAUUAAAUGAGAUGUAAAUUAUAGGGUGAUAGGAAUUUAAUUAAACUUCUCUUUCUUUUUCUUUUUAUUUAUUUAUUUAUGCCAAUAGUAUCCCAUUUGUUUCUUUUCUUUUGCAUAGUUAGUCUAAAAUUUGUUAAAAUAUAUAUGUCUUAUUGUUUCUCACUAUUAAUAAUUAAUUGACUAUGAGCUUUAUUUUUUUAUUUUUUAUGAUAACUAAAAAACUUAAUUAAGUUUCCUUUUGAAUAUAUACUUUUUGUAAUUAAUUUGAUUUGUUUUUUACAUUUUAAUAGGUUAACAAUUGAGUUUGAAAUGAAAUUGUUAUUUUGUAGAUAUUAAAAUAAAUCCUUUAAAUCUACAGUAUUGGAACAUUAGAUUUUAAUUUAUGGGAAAGACUGUUUUAGAGAGGUAUCACACUGCUUUCGAGAAGCGAAUAAACCGGCUGACCGCCUUGCAAACAUUGGAGCGGACUCAGGGAAGAGUCUAACGUAUGGCUCUCUACGUGAUUUGCCUCGCUUGGUGAGGGGUGAUUUCGCUCUUGAUCAGGUGGGUGUCCCAAGUUUGCGUAGAGUAAGAGGGUAGACUAUACUAGCGCUUUCAUUUGCUUGACAUGUAUUCCUUGCAUGAAAUAAAGUAAUUUUUAUUUGAAAAAAAAAAUUUAAGGGAAAGACAACAAGAAAUAAAAGAAAGUUUUCUAAAGAAUUCAUAUAAUCACUUCACAUUGAUACUUAUUUUCACUAGUUUUUAUAAGUACAACGGCUAAUUACAAAAAUUUGAAAUCUACAUGCACAAAACAUGCAACAAUUUGUGUAGUAGUAAUUAUAAUAAAAUUAAAUUAUAAAACUAGAAUUCUUAAUUUCUUCCAAUACUUUAUAUUUUAUUUAUUAUUGGUAUAUUGUCAUCCAAAUUAUAAUUUAUUUAACAAAGAUAUAUAUAUAUAUAUAUAUAUAUAUAUAUAUAUAUAUAUAUAGGCUACCAUUAUGCUAUGUCAAUAUAAUGUGUUUUCAUGAAAUUUUUAGAAAUUUAGAACAUAUUUGUUGUAUAUUUAAUUUAAUUCAUAUAUUAUUUUAUUUUAAAAGCUCUAGUUGUAACUAAAAACCCAUGGGACCUUAAUGAUCCAAACUUGAAAUACUAGGAACUAGAAAUACAAAUUCAAAACUUUCGACUAACGCCAAUUUGAUGUUGACGAUUAGUUAUGAUGAUUUUCCAUUAGUUGACCUAAAGCUGUCUAAAAUCACGACCUUUGGGGACUAAAUUUGUUGUUGUCAAAAUAUUGAGGACUAAUUUGGCAUAUAGGCUAAACAUUCAGGGACCAAAACUAUAUUUCUCCCAAAUAGAUAAUCCCUUGUGUUAUGAGAUUAUUAGAUCUUCCCUUAACUAAUUUGCCACAUGUUUUACUUUCCAUUUUGAAUGUAUGAAUUUCAUUGGGUAAAUUCCAUUUUGACCUCCUAAUCUAUACCCGAUUUCUCACUUCAGUCCCUAAAUUUCAAAAUAGGACACUGAAGUCCCUAAACUAUUGAAUCCAUCCCAAUUAAAUAAAAUCGUUAACAAAAUCCACAAAAUCGUCAGGGUUUUUCGAGCGUGCAAAACAAGCGCCGUUAGUGAGACUAAAUAAGCAAUGAAAACUAAAAUAGUUAGGACAUGAUUGUAAAUUCGUCUACUAGGUAUAAGGGCCAAAGAAAUAAGUCAAAACUGCUUUGUUUCUUUCUUCUUCACUUUGAAUUAUUUGAUUUGAACAGAGAGAGAGAGAGAGAGAGAGGAGGUGUGAAUGAUACAUUACCCAGUUUCUACUAAGAAAUACCUUGAAAUGAACGUGAUUGUGAUUCAGAGGUGAAGUUUAUUGUAAACAUGGGAAGGAAGAGGAUUGAUGGAGAAAUGAGAUCGCCAUUGAAGAACAAGAAGAGAAAGACCAAUCUGGGUAAGAGAAAUGAUAUUAGGGUCAUUGUUUGCUUGUUGGUUAUUAUAGUAGUAUAUAUAGUAGUUGGGUUAUUUGAAUUGUUAUUGUUGUCGGCUAGGUUUUGUAGGGCUAUUGCGGAAUGUAAAAAGGGCCAGAUUAACCUUUAUAUGUUAGUGACAAAUUAUGGUAGACAAAAUUGUUUAAUGUCGAAUAUAUGGGUCUGAAAAUGAUUUGGGGUGUUUUUUAAGUCAAUGUUUAUGCUGUCCAAACCCUAAUGUUCCUUGUAUUGAAGACAUUGUGGUCCUCGAUCCACUGUAAAAGGUGUAAAAAAUUAAUUAUUGAAUUAAAAUUUUUUUUCUUUGAACCAAGAAAUGGUAAUAGUGGAAUUUGGCCUGAACCUUUCUCGUUGUAGAUAUACCAUCAAGGGACCUUCACAAAGUUUCCUAACAAACAGUAUAUAGAAGGAAGGGUUGAUUUUAUCGAUGGAUGCAACCUAAAAAUGUGGUCAUUAGUAACUCUAGACAAAUGUGGAGAGAGGCUUGGGUAUGAUAUAAAAGAUGGUUUUGGGUGGUAUUAUCUGCUGCUAGGGAUGACAUUGGAUACAGGCUUGUUCAUUUGUUUGUGUGAUAGGGAUUGUGAGGUGAUGGUGAACACAUUACCACCACAUAGGGUGGCCGAAGUGUUUCUUAGAGUCGGAUCAGAAGGUUGUCCACAGGCUGCCAUACCCUUAAGUCAAGCUAAGGGAGAUGAAGCCGAAAGUGAUAAAGACGGUGAUGUUAUGAUCAUAGAAGAGGGUGUCAACACUGAUGAAGUGGAACAAGAUGGAAGAGAAAAUGUUGACAUGCAACCAGCAAAUUUAGAUACCAGGAAAGGGUGCAGUAGCAACUAGUCAUCGAAAGUACCAAAUUUGUUUUCUACAGGUUUGGACAGUAGCAAUGGGCCUGAAGUAGCACCAGAAACUGUAGACGAGCAAGGAAAAGGUGCUGAAGUUGAACCAGAAUGUGAGGAUUUUCAUUGUGUUGUUGCUGAAGAUGAACCAGAAAAUGAAGACAUGAAUAGCAAAGCGACUAAAGCUGAAAUUGUGGUAGAAGAGAAAGCUGAUAGCAGGAGUGACGCUGCAAAGGAACCAGAAGCUGUUGAAGGCUAUGAUGAAGCUUCAAAUGCACAAGUUAGAGAAGAGGAUAAAUGUAAAAAUUGUAAUGAAAAUGCAGAAAAGGCAACUGGCAAUGAAGGUGGUGUAAGGGAAACAUCAUGUGAUAAUGCCAGAGUAGAAGAGGAUGAAAAUGGAGUCAAUGUUGAUGAGAAGUUGGCAGAUUCAAACUAUGAGGAUCAAGGGGGAGACAAUGACAUAUUAGAUGAAGCCAUAAGAAUUGGUCAAAGUAUUAGAGGGGACCUAGGUGCCCAUGAACCUAGUUCUUCGCAUUGCAAUGAACAUGUUCCUUCUCAUUGCAGUGAGCAAAGAAAGAAGAAGUCAGGAAGCAAGAAAGACCCACCCAUUGAAAUUAACCGCUGUGAUGACCCUGAUAUGAUUAAUAUUGAUGACAUGGAAUCAGAAUAUGACUCAAAUGGUUCAUUUGAAUUGAAGAGUCAAAGUGAAUUCGAUGAAGAUGGGAAUAGUAAGACAAGGAGGGCUAAAUUUCUAGAUUUCAAUGAGCAAACAAACAUGAAGAAACCAUAGUUUGAAGUUGGUCAGAGGUUCGCAUCAGUUAUUACAUUUAGGCUGGCUGUAAGAAUCCAGGCAAUUAUGGAUGGGAGAGAUGUGUAGUUCAAGAAAAAUUGAUACAUGAAGGGUAAGAGUGAAAUGAAGAAAUUGUGACUGGCAGCUAUUGGGGUCUAAAAUGCAAGGUGAAAUACCUUUCAGAUAAAAACACUUAAGUGAUUAGCACACUUGUGGAAGAGCGUUCCACAAUAAAAAUAUGACAUCUAGGUUGGCCAGCAAACUAUUUGUUGAUAAGGUCAGGAAAGCGCCAUCUAUGACAGUGCAUGAGUUGAUGACCAAAGUAACUGAGGAGUUAAAUGUUGAUUUCAAUCUUAAGCAAGGGUAUAGAACACUUAGAAAAGUGAGAGACACUAUUCAAGGGUCUCAUGACAAACAGUACACCAUGUUGGAAGCAUUUUGUGGUGAAUUGAGGAGAGCAAAUCCGGGAUCUAGUGUGCUUGUUGAGACUGAUGUAGAUGAAGAUGAUGUUUCUAGAUUUAGAAGACUGGCUGUAGAAAGUGAAUUCGGUUAGAUGGUUGCUUCCUAAAAGGUCCACAUGAUGGGCAACUUUCAUUAGGAGUUGGAAUGGAUGGUGAUAACAAAAUGUUUCCAUUGGCUUUGUUAGUUGUUGGGGUAGAAAAUUAUGAUAACUUGAGUUGGUCUUUAGGAUUGCUUGUACAAGAUUUGAAAAUUUCGGACUCUAGUACUUGGUGCAUUAUGAUUGACAAACAAAAGGUAGUAUUUAUUAGCUAUAUUACCAAAUCAAAUUUUGUUGUUACGUUAAACUAUUGAUAUUAAUGUGGCAUAUGUGAUUGUUGUGCUGUGUUGCACAAAGUCUAGUUCAAGCAGUUACGGACAAACUUCCACAAGCUGAGCAUAGCUGUUGUGUCCAACACCUUUACACCAACUUCAAGCAAAUGCACAGAGGCCUUGCUCUUAAAGAAAGGCUUUGGAGAUGUGCAAGGGCUUCAUAUAUAACUCAGCUCAAAAUAGAAAUGGAGAUGACGAAGCAAGAAUCAAAGGAUGCAUAUGCAUGUUUGGAUGAAAAGGACCCCAAUACUUGGUCUAGGGCUCAUAUCAAGACUGGAUUGGAUUGCGAUAUAUUGGUUAAUAAUAUGUGUGAAUCUUUUAAUUCAAUUAUUUUAAAGACACGAUCAUUGCCUAUCGUAGGCAUGUUGCGGACUAUUUACUUAUAUGUGUUGAAGAGAAUGGAGAAGAAUAGAGAGACAAUGUCCAAGCAUGAAGGUUAAGCUACUUACUUACUAUUUUUUAUCACAAUUUUUAAAGUUACACUAUGUUCAAUAUCUAAUUUGCUCUUUUAUUUUUCAGGUCUCUUAUGUCCAGCAAUUUUUGACAUUCUUGAGAAGGCCAAGAAAGAGCAAUGCAUGUGCAUUUGCUACUAUGCUAGCCCGAUGAAGUAUCAAAUAUGUUGUCCUUUCAGUGACCAGUUUGCCGUUGAUUUGGGGAGCAAGACCUGCACUUGUAGAAAAUGGCAACUGAGGGGAAUCCCAUGUGGCCAUGCAGUUGCUACUAUUAAUAGGAGACGUGCCAAAUCAAAAAAAAAAAAUAUAGCACCCACCUACUGGAAGAGUACAUACAUGAAGAGUUAUGAACCUAUGUUGAAUCCAAUCAAUGGUCCUAAUCUAUGGGCCCAAGUAGAUUUACCACCAAUGAGGCCUCCAAAAUAUGGGAAAUCACCUGAAAGACCAAAAAAACUGAGGAAAAAGGGAUCAGAUGAAGAUAGGAACAAGCAGUUAUAUGUGAAUCCAUCUAAACCUCACAAAGUCAUCAAGAUUGGCACUAAGAUGAGCUGUAGUCUGUGCAAGAAAUACGAACAUAAUAGGAGGAGUUGCCCUAAAAAAACCAGCAAACUGUUGCAGUAGAAAAGAGACCAGAUGGGCAUAUGGAUAAAGAAUCUAGUGGGAACAGCACACAACAAAUAGAUGCCAUCAAAAAUGAAACAAGGCAUACUAGUACUAGUCCAAGUACUGCUAAUGUCACUCAAUUAAGUACAUAAGAGAGCUGCACAGCUGCUCCUCAAAAUCAGACUGAACAGAAAAUUGAUGGAGAACAACCAAUCAAGGGCGCAAGAAAAUGCUCAUUUUGCAGGAAACCUGGCCAUUCGAAGAAAGGUUGCAAGCUGAGGCAAUGGAUCUUUAGAAACUCACUGGACAUGACUGGAGAACUUGGACUCAACAGUGUUGCAACUAAUUCUCUGAUUAACCCAUAUGAGACAGCUUCAAAGGAAAUUGAAUCUGGACAUGCCAGUGCUUUGAAAUUUGCAUUUGUUGCUGUGUGAGAUACAAUUAUGUUCACUCUCCUAUUAACUACUUGUUAUCUCCUGACAUGUAGUUGAACUCCAAUACUGGUGACAAACUUUAUUCACAUAAUCCAGGGAUAACAAUGAAACCACAAGACUCAUACAUUGAUGAUAGGCAGACAAAAGAGCUGGGUUCAACUAGUCGUGUCACCAGACGACUUCAACCAACCCCCUUCACUUGGAGGGGAAACAUGUGCGUAAAUCUAUCUACAUUGCAGGCAGCAGCAGGUCAUAUGAAUAAUUCAACUAGCAUUGGCCAAUGUUCAGCUCUAUAGGAAUGCAAAUGAAGCUACAAAAUUAGAAAAUUUAAAUCACACAAGAAAAUAGUUGUGUUUUGUAAAUGGCAAUGUGCUGCAGCUCUAUGUUUAGCUGGGUUUUGCGAAUUUCUAUUGCUAUAAAUUGUUCACAGUAUAUUUUGGGGAGCUGAUGUUUUGUAAAUGGCAACUGAUGUUGUAAACGCCAAGAAAUUUUUGCUAUUGUUUUGUAAAUUUGUGAAAUGUCUGGUCUUUUGGUGUAAGGCUAAACAUGCCUUCUUCUUAAAUGAUCAAAUUCAGUCCAUUUUCAAUUGCAUCUAUUGUCUCAAACAGUUGGUGGUGUUACAAAUGUUAACAGGUUAAUCAUUUACUGUCAAAAGUAGUUCAAUAAGUUGGGACACUUCAAUCCCUCAACUAUACAAAAAGGGAUAGUUCAAUCCCAAUGCUUCAUUAGCUAGGGACACUUAGGUCCCUAAAGUUCAAACAAAAGAGCACAUAAUCCCUUAAACUAAAAAUUGUAUCCAAAAUUAGUGAACCUAGUGCUCCUUCAAGCAUAUGCUACAUUACAUUAGAAUCGUAGCUUAUACAGAGUGACAAAAAUUACAUCUUUUCCAUCCCAAUUAUAUAGCACCAUUAUGCAUUGCAUGUUGCACUAUGUUAUUCUACUACACCUUUGCUUCUUUUCCCACAUAGAUGGACAUGAUUCUUGUCAAACUCCAAUGAUGACCUUUAUGGCCCAUAUUUGAACAAAAGCAUCCAUAUAACAACAACAACCCAGUGAAGAAACAAGUACAUCUUUAGCCUCCUUAGUUUUGCUUCCUGCAGCUGUAAUUUGAGUUCUCUUGCAACCUCUCAAUCUUAGAUUUCAAUUUGUUUUUUGUUCUUAUUAGUCCAAGGAUAUAUUAUAUCCUUGGACCUUUGACACAUCUCAGGAUCCACCCAAUCCCAAUAACUGCAUUACCCCAUUUCCUACAUUAACAACACCAUUGAGAGAGUAAAUACAGGUUUACUUAGGUGUAUUGCAUACAAAUCGGAACCAUAGGGGAAGAAGUACAAACCAGAUAUAAUGGAAAUGCUUGUUUUCCAUUGUUGCAUGUGUCCCUAACCAUCUCUCAUUUGUCUUCUUUCUUAUCUUUAGAUUUUCUAAAGCUCUCAACCUCUUAGUUCUUACCCCUCAUUUGGAUAUUCAGCCAAUUGCUUUCUUUUUUAUUAGGGCACAUCUCUUCCCUUUUAUGAAUUGGAUUGAGUCAAUUAUAUCACCCGAAUGUGCCUAAUAAAAGGAGGGAAAGUUUCCCUCCUUUUCCCUCCUUUGUGCUAAAUAAAUUUCUUUCUUUUUAUAUCUUUUCUCUGAAUUUGCAUCCCUGCCUUUGGUCAAUGGCGCUUGUUUUGCACGCUCAGAAAACCCUGACGAUUUUAUGGAUUUUGUCAACAAUUUUACUUAAUUGGGACGGAUUCAGUAGUUUGAGGACCUAAGUGUCCCAUUUUAAAGUUUAGGGACUGAAGUGGGAAAUCGGAUAUAGUUUAGGGGGUCAAAAUAGAAUUUACCCAAUUUCAUUUGGUAGUCAACUAAGGAAAGGGACUUUCUGAAAUUGCUAGGCAAUUGCAUCAUACAAUUGAUGACCCACAUGGUGGUGGUGAAUUUGAAAUUGGAUUGUAGGUUCGUUUGGAUAGUGAAAUUAUCCCAAAUAAUAUUUCGCUUGCAUCAUAAACACAUUUCCCAAUCCACCUUUUUAUAUUUUCAACUACCUUUUUAUCUCACAUACAUCGCAUCACAUAAAAUGCUACAGUAAUUAUUUCAAAUAAUACCCUAUCCAAACAAACGAAAUUGCUUGUCAAGACACAAUUAGUUGCACUGAAGAGGAACCUUCAUUUUAAUUUUGCAUAUUAUUGUAUUACUAGUAUUUUUGAGAUUGGGUUCACUUGGUAAGGUUUGUUCACAUCAUCUAAGGAAAGUUUUUUUAUUUGAAGCUGAUCUAAGGGAAGUUCAAAUACAAGUCUCGUUACUAGCAGUCUCUCAUUAGUAUGUAAUCUAUAAGAACUGCUAUAAAGCACUCCAUAUGACAUAUGGAGGAUUUCAAGGUGCUUCAUAUGACAUAUGGAGAAUUUCGAGAAGAAUUUGUCGUGCAAUUUCCUAGCAUUGUUUGUAUUGAUAAAUACGUCAUUAUCCUGCUCUGAAUUGAAAUAAGAUAAUACUUUUCUCCACCCAAAUCUUAUUAUAACCAAAAAGAAAUUAAGACUACAUGCUUUUUGUGGCGUCCUAUUAGGACUUGUUUUGAUCAAACUAGUUGAAAACAAUGGUUGUAUCUAGAUUUGUUGCUCUGCUACUAACUUAGUGGAGCAACAUUGUAUUCCUACUUUAUUUUGAAGAGACUGAUGAACUUCAAAGUUUAUGAUGGCUAGUUAAUAGUGGAGCAAAUACAACGAAUUCAUUUAUGUUUCGACAAUUAGCGUGAAACUGCUGAUCUAUAGAAGAAAGUUAUACUAUUUUUUAUGUGAAUGAGUUAUGGAUCCAGCCUUGAUAAGUUUAAGUUAAUUAAAGUAGCCACAUGCAAUGAGGCUCAAUUAUAAUUUACCCACUUUAUUCACAAAGUAUGCAGAUCAAACCCCAUGACUAAUAGUCAAAGCCAUGAAAUGAACUUUGGUUUAUGUCAGUAGCUGAAAAGACAAUUAUGCCAUCAGAAUUUCUAGCCUUGAUAACUUCACCCUUCUCAUGCCAUCGGAUAAAAAUAACAUUCUCCUAUUGGAGGAAAUAUGUCAUUUGAAAAAGUUAUAUGCAAGACUCCCAAGUUUUUACCCCUUGAAAUUUGCUAGUCUCAACUAAGCAUUUUGAUAGGUGGUCAAAUCCAAAGGAGUAUGCUCAACUCUGUUCUCAAUGUCAUAAUGACCAAUUUACCCAUUACUGCCUAUUAUACCCUGUCUGGGUAUAAUAGCAACCAAUCUGGGUACAGUUACAUCCAUAACAUCUAAAUUCAAUAAUUUUCUAAACUCGCCUGGUGGUGUGUCAAAGAAUUUAAGUUAAAAUUUAAAAACUGAAAUCUGAAGUUUGAAUUCAUUAAGUAAUUAAAUUGUUUACUACUAAAUAUGAUACAUUUGGGUGUAUUUUACAUUAUGUGAUAAGUGAAUAACUUAUCACUUAUUUUUUUAGAAUUAAUCUUUCCUACACUGACAGUGUAUACACUAUCAGUCUUGGAUGAAUGACAACUAUGUAAAAUUUGAAUUUGAAUCCAACUUUUGCACAUGUGUCAUGAAUCUAACGGUGAUAGUGUAUACACUGUCAGUGUAUAAAAAAUUUACCCUAUUUUUUAGAGUGUGUUUUGACUAGAAAAUUUAGUGCCAUUUAAUUAAUCCAAAUUUUCUAUUUUUUAUUAUCAAAUGCAUCCGAAUAUAUUACGAUAUGAAUUCGUUAAAUUUAAGUGUUGAAUUGGAUUAUCAAAUGGAGAUUUAGUUUUGCUAAAUAAUCCGUGCACUUGUUACCCUCGUGCCAUUCAUGCUUCAAUUCUCACUUCCAUUGUUUAGCUUAUGUGCUAAUUUAGAGUGUAGUGUGGGAUUUCCUCAGGUGCCUUGUCAUUCAGCCCCAAACUCACGUUUUAGUCUGAUUCAAUGAUCAUAUUUCUGCAACAAAUAUCCACUUGCCAUACUCAACCCAUAAAUGAUGGCCCAUAGUUCUACUACCAUGUUCUUUGUAGUUCCCAAGCUGACACCGAACCCAUUCAUCCAGUAAGCCCCUUCAUCUCUAUUUAGUCCUCUUGCUCCAGCUUGUCCUAAACUGUUGCUUGAUGCUCCAUCCACAUUUAGUUUCACCCAUCCAAUUUGGGGCUUACUCCAAUUGAUAAACUUCAGCUCUUUCUGUACUGCUCUAUGAUAGUUGGUGAGAGAUUCCUGACUGAAUUCGGCUUGGGCUAUCACUGUUUGAGCAUUGAUUUUAUCUUUACUUGCAGUAAUAUAGGUUCCAGCAUACCAAGCAAAAUAAAAAAGUUCUUGAAUCAAACUCCUGCCAAUCUUCAUCUUCUAUCUCUACAGUGUUAUGUUGUUUUAAGCUCCAGUCAAGCCAUUCUUCCAGAUUUGGGUUCCUAAAUUUCCCCAUCUACUUGGUAGAUUAGUUUCUUCCCUAUUGUUGAUAUCCAGUCAUAGCCUAGCAAUCCAUAUUCAUAAUUAUUGAAUUACAUUUGACCAACUUUUUUUUUAUUAUAAAACAUCAUGAUAACAUUAAAUCUAUACUAAUAGCACAAAUUACAUCAAUCAUGCACAAAUACAAAUAGAUCUGAAAAACAAAUCUUGAUAUUACAAAUUUAAAAAAUUAAUAGAAUAUUACACUGUGAAACUACAAUAAUAUCAAAAAAUAAAACACUUAUUGCCCCAAUAUCAUCUAUGCAUGCUUCCAACUGUGUUGCUUCUUUUCUCCCAGAUCUGCUAAUUAACUGAUUUAAAUUUAGAUGUUAAAGUGAGAUCUAACGAGGUAGAUCUAAAAGAUUUCAGAUCCGACAACCAAAUAUGCAAAAACUUAGAUCUAGUACAAAAAAUAGAAAAAAAACUACAAAAGCUAUCAUUAGAAAUUUCUAGGAGAGGAGAAAACUGUCAUUCAAAAUUCCUAAGAGAGAAUAAACUCUCACUGGGAAACUCCAUGAGAGGAGAAUAACAUCUUUUGCUACUAGAAUAACAUUACCCUCAAUUUGAUGAGUAAAAGAGUUUCAGAUACUAUCCUCAUCCACCAAGCUUCACAAACAAACUGAAAAAUAGUAGAACACAAAUGCAUCCAUACAAUGGUGAAGUACUUUAUAUUUCGACAUUGCAAGACAAGGUAUAUGAAUGCCUAGGAUGAAAUAUGGAAAAAGAUUCUUGAAGACCACAGGCUACGAGUCUUGAUUAGGCACUUCUCUGCUGUAAAAUUUUCCCACUACUCUGGAGUCCAGAAUUACAAUGGCUUUCUCAGACUUUAUGUUCUUAGGUGUCUUGUACUGGUUUAAAGAAGUUCCUUGGGAAACAUAAAAGUCCAUGAGCACGUUGAAUGUUCCUUGUUUCACAACUCUAAUUUCCAAUGGACCAAUGGUACUGAUGCUCUGAUUCCUCAGCCACUUAUAUUUCUGGUCCAGAGAUUGUUCCACUAAACUACAACACUUUUCCAUUUUAACCUGAUCAAGUUCAGGUGUAUCAUCGUUUGGUCUGAGUUGAAGCUCCCAAAAGAGUACAUAGUGACCAGGAAUAGAAGAUGUAUCAGCAUAGCUACUGUAAUCCAAAAGAAAGAAGCCAAGUGGUUGAAGGAUCUGCAUUGCUAUUGCAACUGCUUUUUGGAGGUCUUGUUCAGUUGUUUUAUCUGUGUGAAUACUCAAAACCACAUUUGUCCUUUGUACAAAUUUGAAUUGGGGAGUGGAAUUGUGAAAACCUGUCACCAGGAGAAUAUCCUCCAUUCUGUACCUGUACAAACCUGAAAAUACAUUCUUCCAUCAAUAUUCUAGACAUUAGAGCGUUUAAGCUUUUAAACUGUCUAAUAAUCAUUGGUUGUGUGUAUCAGGAUAAUAAAUGUACAGAAAAAACAGAAUGUAAUAAACCUAUAUUCGACAAAUUUGAACAUCAGAACAAGUUGUGCACAUUAGAUGUCCAAGGCAAUUGUUAAGUAGAAAUUAAUGGAACUACUAUCCAUUUUAGAACAUGAUAAAGCGUUUAAAAUGGAGACCAGUAGACACCUUGAAGAGGCACUUCUGUGUUUUAUCAAAUACUUUUUCAUGGGUCAGACUAACAGAAUUAUAGUUCACAUCUGUGGUACACCACAGGCAGUUAGGGUCGAUUCAAAAGUACAGUGAUCUCACCUGUAAAGGUCGUGACAAGAAGUUCGUAAUGUUGGCCAAUCUUAACAUUAGCAAGAUCCACAAUGUGAUCUUUCAAAUGAGCAUCUUUCCUGUUGGUGCAGUUUGGAUCUUGAUGAUUGUCAAUUGGUAAGAACUCAUAGUAGGCUAUGUUUGGUAUAAAAGUAUACGAGACAUCACAAGGACUGCACAAAGGUUUCAUGUUUAUCCCAAAAAAUGCCUCUGAAGAACCAUAAAGUGAUGACACUACAGGUAACCCACCCGUAUAGAACUCAAGUGCAGGGAUAUAUUGUGCCAUGGACCCUGUAAUAAUGGCCAGGACAUACUUGGUCCUUGG
rnacentral:lncRNA from 1 species